GCCGGUUUAGCUCAGUUGGUAGAGCAACUGAUUUGUAAUCAGUAGGUCAGGAGUUCGAGUCCCCUAACCGGCACCA
rnacentral:tRNA from 4 species